rnacentral:rRNA from 1 species
AGAAUCAACGCUGGCGGCGUGCCUAACACAUGCAAGUCGAACGCGACUGGGGCUUCGGCUCCAGUUGAGUGGCGAACGGGUGAGUAACACGUGGGUGACCUACCUUCGAAUGGGGGAUAACGUCCCGAAAGGGACGCUAAUACCGCAUAACAUCCCGCUCUUGAAUGGGGGGAGAUCAAAGCCGGGAUCGCAAGACCUGGCGUUUGGAGAGGGACCCGCGUCCGAUUAGCUAGUUGGUGAGGUAACGGCCCACCAAAGGCGACGAAUCGGUA